UUCCGGUUGAUCCCGCCGGACCCCGACGCUGGCGGGCUCAGCUUAAGACAUGCAAGCCGAACGCGGCGCCGCACCGCCGCGUGGCGGACGGCUCAGUAACACGUCGCCAACCGGCCCUCGGGAGGGGGAUAACCCCGGGAAACUGGGCUCAAUCCCCCAUAGGCGGGGGACGGUGGAAACCCCCCACGCCGAAAGGGUGCAGCGGGAGGCCGCUGCACCGCCCGAGGACGGGGCGGCGGCCCAUCAGGUUGUAGGCGGGGUAACGGCCCGCCUAGCCGAUGACGGGUACGGGCCGUGUAAGCGGGGGCCCGGAGAAGGCCACUGAGACAAGGGGCCUAGGCCUACGGGCUGCAGCAGUCGGGAACCCCCCGCAAUGCGGGAAACCGCGACGGGGUGAGCCCGCGUGCCUCCCGAGAGGGAGGCUUUUCCCGACCGUAAGAACGUCG
rnacentral:rRNA from 1 species